rnacentral:rRNA from 1 species
AGCGAACGCUGGCGGCAGGCUUAACACAUGCAAGUCGAGCGGGCACUUUCGGGUGUCAGCGGCGGACGGGUGAGUAACGCGUGGGAACGUGCCCUCUGGUUCGGAAUAACUCAGGGAAACUUGAGCUAAUACCGGAUACGCCCUUUUGGGGAAAGGCUUGCUGCCGGAGGAUCGGCCCGCGUCUGAUUAGCUAGUUGGUGAGGUAACGGCUCACCGAGGCGACGAUCAGUAGCUGGUCUGAGAGGAUGAUCAGCCACACUGGGACUGAGACACGGCCCAGACUCCUACGGGAGGCAGCAGUGGGGAAUAUUGGACAAUGGGCGCAAGCCUGAUCCAGCCAUGCCGCGUGAGUGAUGAAGGCCUUAGGGUUGUAAAGCUCUUUUAUCCGGGACGAUAAUGACGGUACCGGAGGAAUAAGCCCCGGCUAACUUCGUG